rnacentral:rRNA from 1 species
CAGCAGCCACGGUAAUACGAAGGGUGCAAGCGUUAAUCGGAAUUACUGGGCGUAAAGCGUGCGUAGGCGGUGAGUUAAGUCUGCUGUGAAAUCCCCGGGCUCAACCUGGGAAUGGCAGUGGAUACUGGCUCGCUAGAGUGUGUCAGAGGAUGGUGGAAUUCCCGGUGUAGCGGUGAAAUGCGUAGAGAUCGGAAGGAACAUCUGUGGCGAAGGCGACUAUCUGGGCCAACACUGACACUGAGGCACGAAAGCGUGGGGAGCAAACAGGAUUAGAUACCCGCGUAGUCCCUGUCUCUUAUAC